rnacentral:rRNA from 1 species
ACGAACGCUGGCGGCAUGCCUAAUACAUGCAAGUCGAACGAUCCCUUCGGGGAUAGUGGCGCACGGGUGCGUAACGCGUGGGAAUCUGCCCUUGGGUUCGGAAUAACUUCGGGAAACUGAAGCUAAUACCGGAUGAUGACGAAAGUCCAAAGAUUUAUCGCCCAGGGAUGAGCCCGCGUAGGAUUAGCUAGUUGGUGGGGUAAAGGCUCACCAAGGCAACGAUCCUUAGCUGGUCUGAGAGGAUGAUCAGCCACACUGGGACUGAGAUACGGCCCAGACUCCUACGGGAGGCAGCAGUGGGGAAUAUUGGACAAUGGGGGCAACCCUGAUCCAGCAAUGCCGCGUGAGUGAUGAAGGCCUUAGGGUUGUAAAGCUCUUUUGCCAGGGAAGAUGAUGACUGUACCUGGAGAAUAAGCCCCGGCUAACUUCGU